UUCAUCCCGUCUGUCCGCAGGGCGCAGCCCCGAGGGCAGGACGAGCGGCUGUGUCCCCUGCUCCCCGAGAGGUAAAUGGAGAAUCCGUGACCCCCACCAGGCCGAGCCUGGUCAUUCCUCCCCGGGUCGGGUUACUGGGCUCUGCCUUGCUGCGGGUGCCCGGCUCCUUCCUCCAAGCCUGAGGACUCUUGCUGGGUUUCUCCUCCACAGGUGGCAGAAGGUCCUUCCCAUCGGAGUUUUCAGCACGGCCCUGGUAUUUCAUAAACACCUUUUCCUAGAGGAGGAGGCACCAUCCGCUGUUUGUUUCCUCACUUAAUUGCUUCGGACUAUUGCUGACUGGGGACACAGAAGCAUGCAGUUGUGUUCUGCCUUGAGAAAUCUAAUAUUUACCAUGACUUAACUGCUCUCCUUUCAUUCUUCUUCUUGGAGAUGGAAGAUUAUGGGACCUUUUCAUUUUAGUGAUGAAGAAACAAGAUGAAUUCAUAUGUGACUGGUAGGAUGACAAAUCCAGAAAUGACAGUGCUCCUGAGGGAAUGAGGGGUAGUAAGGAAGAUAAAAGAUACAAUUAACUGAGCUUCUUUUGGAGCGCUGGAGAAUUCAUCUGCCCCAUCCGUCUGGCCAGACACUGUAGUCACCUUUCCUCCUCAGGCAGGCCUGGCCCUUUUCUCAGUAGGCUGACAAUCGUGACAUUUUGUGAUGGGAACAAAAAGGCAACUAGGCGAUGAGGCCAGCAAACUCAUUUCACUUGUAUCCAAUGGAAGCCUCCAGAGGAAAAAAGAGCCCCGCUCGGAGUGAGCGGCAGGUCAGCCCUGCAGGGAUGGAGGCUCUGCAUGCUCUGACUGCCUGGCUUGAUCCUCAUCCACCUGGGGACGGGAGAGGGUCCAGGAGACCCGGCUCUGGCAAAAGAGAUGACCUUGGGAGCCCAGCCUCCCUCUUCGUUAUUGCCUGCUGAACAGCUGCACAGAAUUAGAAAGUGGCCACGAAGAACUAUGGAGGACUUUGUGUGAGGUUACGAUGCAUUCCACGGCCAAACAACAGGAACUGAAAGAGUGGCAGGACAGGGAGAAGAGGGACCGAAAGAAGAAUGCGUGCACCAGAGUGAAGCCAUGGAACAGCUCUUAAAUGUUAUGGAGCACCAAACGGACACGCUCUAGGCUAUACUAGCACUGCAAACCGAGCGGGUCCGCGCCCACCUGCCCUUGCAGCUGCUGUCGCAAAACUCUUUCCCACGUGCCCCCCCAGACACUCUUAUCAACCUUCUGGCUCCAGUCUGUACCCGCAGCAUUCCACUCCUCCCCCUGACAGUCUGGCACUGCGGACUCCCAGUACCCAUUGCACUCAACACCCAUCCCUCUG